UUCUCAGAAUGACUCAAUCCUAUGGAAAAGGGGAGGUUAUUUUAAUUCUAUGGGAUAGGAUUAUAGGUAUAGGGAUAGUUUUGACCACUAACAGAAAUCAUUCUAGGCUAUUCUUGAUCUUUCACACUCCAACAAAGGAUAGUAUGAUACCACCUGCCUUAUUUUAUCUAUCUUCUAUAUUUUUCUUGCACGAAAUGCACUCUCAUUUCCUCCAUGCACCAUGCUAUACUAUCACACAUUUGGUUUUUUUUCUCUUGAUAGUCCAUUAAUCAUGUUCACUAUCACCCAGCUCUGCAAGAUUCUUGAUACAUAUUGAAGUAGUUUUGGCCUUCACUUUUAUGCAUUGAGACAUCCUUGUUAAUCUACAGACAAUGUUUCAUGAAAUCGAUAAACUUAUUUGUAAUUGAUUAUUUCAAAUUUGCAUUUGGCAGAGGUAUGGCGAGGUAAGUAAACAAAGACUUGAUCGAGCAAUUCUCACUUUCUUCCAGCAUUUUCGCAAGUCCUAUGUUGGUGAUCAAGCAAUGCAUUCAACUAAGCAGUUAUAUGCCCGUUUAUCAAAGCUUCUUGGAGUCCAUGAUCACCUGUUACUAUUAAAUGUGAUUGUUGGGAAGACUGCUACAAACUUGAAGUGCUACACGGAGAGUGAGGAAGUCAUUGAUCACACUCUAAGUUUGUUCUUGGAAUUGGCAUCUGGAUAUUGAAGACCCUAUUCGAGAUAGUUUUGUUUGAGGAUUGUGGCAACCAAUGGAGUCUUAGCAGGCCUAUGUUGAGCUUAAUUCUUAUCAGUGAGCAGGAAACCAGUGAAAGUCUCUAACUGAAUUUGUUGCUGAGCACUUCUUGUUGCGCCUUUAGAAUCUUAAAAAUCAUCCCGUGGAUCAACAUCAGAGGUGCUCCGCUUGUUUUGACAAGCUUAUGCAAGAUGUUACUCGAAGCCUAGAUUCAAAGAACAGAGACAAAUUCACCCAGAACCUAACUGUAUUCAGGCACGAAUUCCGUCUCAAAUAGAUAAAACUUUGGUUUCUUAAGUAACCCUUUUUCCUGCUAAAGAAGUUCAUCAGAUAGUAUGAAUGUGGGAAGUGAAGCAUCUUUUUGCCGGGUUGUGUUGGUUUUUCUUGCCUGAGGCAAAGAGCAGACUCUUUUCUGAGGUUGGCGGGCGAAAUUGUUUGAAAGCAGUUAUGGUGGUAUUGUAUAGUUUGCUAUACCGAAAGUGUUACGGAACGUUUCAAAGGGUUUUUCCGAAGUGCAUAAGAAUGUUGGAUACCGACAUUGAUAUGGUAGGGCAAUGGCGAUUUCGCAUCUAGCACAUCAUUCUUUCGCAAGAUAUAACGUAAAAUCAUUUUGGGGCUUUUAUGUUUUGGAGAUGGAUCGUGUUUGUGUGUCCCAAG